rfam:Mus musculus chromosome 3, GRC primary reference assembly.
ACAAAGGCUCUUUUCAGAGCCACCACAGCUUCCCGGAAAGAGCUAU